GGAAUAUAAGUACAUGUCUCUUAAUUUUUAACUAAAAAAACUAAGAACCGGUUCUUAUCUUUAAGAACCGGUUCUUAGCUUUAAGAACCGGUUCUUAAAUUUAAGAACUGGUUCUUAGCUUUUUUAGUUAAAAGUUAAGAGACGGGUUCUUAUAUUCC
rfam:Brassica napus, WGS project CCCW01000000 data, contig: 29765